AUUGAACGCUGGCGGAAUGCUUUACACAUGCAAGUCGAACGGUAGAGGGGGCAACCCCUCGAGAGUGGCGAACGGGUGAGUAAUAUAUCGGAACGUGCCCAGUCGUGGGGGAUAACGUAGCGAAAGUUACGCUAAUACCGCAUACGAUCUAAGGAUGAAAGCGGGGGAUCGCAAGACCGCGCGCGAUUGGAGCGGUCGAUAUCAGAAUAGGUAGUAGGUGGGGUAAAGGCUCAACAAGCCAACGAUCGGUAGCUGGUCUGAGAGGACGACCAGCCACACUGGAACUGAGACACGGUCCAGACUCCUACGGGAGGCAGCAGGGGGGAAUUUUGGACAAUGGACGCAAGUCUGAUCCAGCCAUUCCGCGUGCAGGAUGAAGGCCCUCGGGUUGUAAACUGCUUUUGUACGGAACGAAAAGGUCUCUCUUAAUACGGGGGGCUCAUGACGGUACCGUAAGAAUAAGCACCGGCUAACUACGUGCCAGCCGCCGCGGUAA
rnacentral:rRNA from 1 species